AUUGAACGCUGGCGGCAGGCCUAACACAUGCAAGUCGAACGGUAACAGGAAGAAUCGUGCUUCGUUGCUGGCGGGAGGCGGGCGUGUGAGUAAUGUGAGCGUGACUUCCUGUGGGGGGGAGCUAGGUACAGGAAAGGGUAGCUAAGACCGCAUAAUGCGGCAGGACCAGAGGGGGGGACGGUCGGGCCGCUUGCGAGUUGCUGGGCCCAUAUGGGAUUAGCUAGUAGGUGGGGUAACGGCCUACCUAGGCGACGAUCCCUAGCUGGUCUGGGAGGAUGACCAGCCACACUGGAACUGAGACACGGUCCAGACUCCUACGGGAGGCAGCAGUGGGGAAUAUUGGACAAUGGGCGAAAGCCUGAUGCAGCCAUGCCGCGUGUAUGAAGAAGGCCUUCGGGUUGUAAAGUACUUUCAGCGGGGAGGAAGGGAGUAAAGCUAAUACCUUUGCUCAUUGACGUUACCCGAAGAAGAAGCACCGGCUAACUCCGUG
rnacentral:rRNA from 1 species